UGGGGAAUAUUGGACAAUGGGGGAAACCCUGAUCCAGCGACGCCGCGUGAGUGAAGAAGUAUUUCGGUAUGUAAAGCUCUAUCAGCAGGGAAGAAAAUGACGGUACCUGACUAAGAAGCCCCGGCUAACUACGUGCCAGCAGCCGCGGUAAUACGUAGGGGGCAAGCGUUAUCCGGAUUUACUGGGUGUAAAGGGAGCGCAGACGGCAAUGCAAGUCUGAAGUGAAAGGCGUGGGCUCAACCCAUGAACUGCUUUGGAAACUGUUUGGCUUGAGUGUCGGAGGGGUAAGCGGAAUUCCUAGUGUAGCGGUGAAAUGCGUAGAUAUUAGGAGGAACACCGGAGGCGAAGGCGGCUUACUGGACGACAACUGACGUUGAGGCUCGAAGGCGUGGGGAGCAAACAGGAUUAGAUACCCUGGUAGUCCACGCAGUAAACGAUGAAUACUUGGUGUCGGGGAGGUAAACUCUUCGGUGCCGCAAGCUAACGCAUUAAGUAUUCCACCUGGGGAGUACGUUCGCAAGAAUG
rnacentral:rRNA from 1 species